rnacentral:rRNA from 1 species
ACGGGUGCCUAACGCGUAUGCAACCUACCUCAAUCUUGGGGAUAUCUAGAAGAAUUUACGAUUAACACCGCAUAAAAACACAGUAAAGUACUGCACAAUGUUCAAAUAUUUAUAGGAUUGAGAUGGGCAUGCGUGUCAUUAGCUAGUUGGCGGGGUAACGGCCCACCAAGGCGACUAUUACGACGGGAUCGGAUAGGACGACCCCCCACACUGGUACUGAAACCAGGACUCAAACUCUAACGGGAGGCAGCAGUAAGGAAUAUUGGUCAAUGGAGGCAACUCUGAACCAGCCAUGCCGCGUGCAGGAAGACAGCCCUCUGGGUCGUAAACUGCUUUUAUUCGGGAAUAAACCUACUUACGUGUAAGUAGCUGAAUGUACCGAAGGAAUAAGGAUCGGCUAACUCCGUGCCAGCAGCCGCGGUAAUACGGAGGAUCCAAGCGUUAUCCGGAUUUAUUGGGUUUAAAGGGUGCGUAGGCGGCUUAUUAAGUCAGGGGUGAAAGACGGUGGCUCAACCAUCGCAGUGCCCUUGAUACUGAUGAGCUUGAAUGAACUAGAGGUAGGCGGAAUGUGACAAGUAGCGGUGA